CACCCCAGGCACUUCACUGUCAAGCAAGGAGAGAGGCACUUCACUGCCAAGCAAGGAGAAGAGAAAUAUACUGUCUGACUAGCACAGUUUUUCUCACCUUUUGUUGCCGACAUCAGUGAGGGGAGAAUGCAAGCAAGAAUGAGAGAAAGAAGGAACAGAGCUAGAGAUGAGGACGUGGAGGAAUCCAGAUGGGAAUGAGAUUG